CUUCUCAUGGAUGCUUUAAACAACUUGAAGGAGCUUGGUGGUUCUAAUAAGACUACUAUAGCUGCAUACAUAGAGGAACAAUAUUGGGCUCCUCCAAACUUCAAAUGAUCAUUGUCAGCGAAAUUGAAGUUUUUGACUGCUAGUAGGAAAUUAAUUAAGGUAAUUAUAUAGCCCAAGUGUGAGGUGCAUGAUUUCAAAUUUAUUGGUCGCAACUAACUUUACUUGAAUGCUAUGAAGCUAAUUGGGCUACAUUAUAUCUUGAUCAUGCUAUUCUUAGUUAUAGCUCAUAGAAUGUUAACUUGGAAUAUUUAUUUUGUGCCUGAGUAUGCCAAUCUGCUUUGUAUUGUUGAACAACCCAUGCUUAACCAGGGUGAAAAAUAACUGAAGGGUUGACUUGGACUGUUGAAUGGGUAAGAAUUAUUUAUGAAUGUAUACUAAAGUAAAUGGUUGUAUUUUCUUAAUAGGAUAAAGAAAUCAUUGUAUGGAUUCUUUUUCUUUUUUUCUAAUAAAAUUUCUUACUAAAGCGGAAUGGAAGAGAUCACUUGUUUCAACCAUUUAAUAAAUUUUUUUCUAAUAAAAUUUCUUGCUAAACAUAGAUAAUCUAUUUAGCGUUGCUCUCUUCAUAUAGUUGUUGAACAAGUCAGCAGAAAAGAUCACUUGCUCAACCAUUUGAGCAUUCCAGCAGCUUGUUUCACUCACCCAGAAAUUAAGUAUGGUUGGACUCAUAGAGGUGAAUAUCAAAUUUUCCAAUUCCCAUACCAAACCCACAAAUUUUCCAAUUAGUUCUUCUUUGUACCUUUCUCAAUUUCGAUUUACCUCUCCCCAUCUCCUAGCGAGGGGGGAUGGCUCUAAAUGGGCUACAAUUAUCGGUGAUGUUUAUGGUCGUCCAUCUGCAAAAAUGUAUCCAACUGCUAAGGUAAUUCUGUCUCAUCUCUUUCCAAUAGUUGUUUCACAUUGCUCAACAGUAUUGGUUAUCUUUCUGUGCUUUUUCAAGUAUUUUUGAAACCCAUGCCGAAUGUUGAAACUAGUUUUGAAUCCUGAAUUGGAUAUUUUCCAUGAUUUUCAGCCUUUCUUUCCCAUUUUGUAUAUUUAAAUUUGUUCAUUUUCAUUUAAACAGAUUGGCCCUAAUGUUUCAAUCUCAGCAAAUGUUCGUAUAGCAGCAGGUGUAAGGCUUAUAAGUUUCAUCAUCUUAGAUGACGUUUAAAUAAAGGAAAAUGCAGUAGUUAUGCAUGCUAUUGUUGGAAGGAAAUCAUCUAUUGGGAAAUGGUCGCGUGCCCAAGCUGAAGGAGACUACAAUGCCAAGCUUGGAAUCACCAUCCUUGGAGAAGCUGUGACAGUUGAAGAUGAAGUCGUGGUGACUAACAGCAUCGUGCUCCCAAACAAGACCCUUAAUGUUAUC